rnacentral:lncRNA from 1 species
UGAAAUCCCAUUCGGAUCCCUUUCUGACACCCUGUCGGAGGGGAAAUCAUCACCGAAGGCCAUCUUCAUCAUUACGGCGGUCUCUAUGACGAAGAGGGAGUAGUUCACCCUUAGUGCUAAGGGUAUGUAUCAAUACCUAUGUGUUUGAUCUCUCUCUCUUUCUCUAUCUCUCUCUCGCGCGCGCGUGUAUUUUUGAGAUGUCAUGAUCUUCAUAUAUCACGGGCUUUGUUAAUAUAGUUGGAUCAUACGGUGUUCUUCCCUUGCUAUCUUGUUGUGAUGAAUUGUAUAUUUCCGUUUAAGGUUUUUUAUGUAAGAUUUAAUAUUGGAUUUGAGACACUUGAUGUUUAUCUUGCAUAUGGAUACCCGUGGUGACAAUAGGGUGUUCUAUUGAUUCAGUUGAUAUAUGUUUUGGUACUCAACUUGCGGAUUCCCGUCGUGACAAUGGGGUAAUCUAUGCAUAUGGGUUGAUACACGUUCUUGUCCUACUUUCUCCGAUAAAAAUCUUGGGGUACUCUUUAAGAGGUCUUUGUGUUGGAUUAAAUAUGAUGAAUCUGAAAUUGGUUGAUGCAUGUUAAAUAAUUAACCCACAGAUACUUGAGGUGACAUUAGAGUAUCUAGAUGACAUGUAUCAUAGGUGUUAUUCUAGUACAAACUCUAGGGCUGUUUGUGACAUCUAUAAGAAUGUCUCAAUAGAUUGAACGGAAAUAACAACUUUGAGGUGGUUUUGUUACCUACAACAAUUUCAUCUUAUGUUCUCUGAUAGAUAUGAAUUUUGGAGUGAUUCUUUGUCGCACAUUGAAGGAUGAUUAGAUGAUUCUUUUAUGUUAGCAUUAUUGAGAGAUUGCACAAGUGAAAGUAUGAACCCUAGGCCUUAUUUCCAAGUAUCACAAUACCUUUUAUGCUCACUUUUAUUAUUUGUUACCCCGUUGUUUUUGAUUUAUUCGGAUUAUAAAAAACUAUUUCUACUAUCCAUACUACACGUGUAUCACCAUCUCUUCGUCAAACUAGUGCACCUAUACAAUUUUUUAUUGUAUCGGAUGUGUUGGGGACACAAGAGAUUUAUUGUAUUUGAUUGCACGGUUGUUUGAGAGAAACCAUAUUCAUCCUACAUCUCCCACGAUUUGAUAAACCUUAGGUCAUCCACUUGAAGGAAAUUUGUUGCUCUCCUAUAAAACUCUACACUUGGAGGCCCAACAAUGUCUACAAGAAUAAAAUUAUGUAGUAGACAUCACAACACCAUAUCUUGUUGGAUGAUGACCCUCUCCUUAGCUAGACCUUGACUCCCUUCUCACUGGUGUCUUUAGCCCAAGCUUUCUUCUCAACAUCAAGAGAUGCAAUCAAAUUUUCAACUGACAUUCUUCUCUUUUAUGUUUCAGAGUAGUGGUGAAAUUCCUUUAUAAAGGAGGAAACUUUGCAAUCAUGCAUCCAGCCACAAAUUUAUCGGGUAAGUGGCACUGAAGGAGUCCUAGUUCCUUACAAUGCACUGUAUUUAAUGAGCUUGUUCAACUACUGAACGAUUAUAAACCAUCUUAUAGUCGUGGAAGCUCUUCAUGAUGUACAUUUCACUGUCUGCAUUUGUUGCGCCAACUUUAGCAUUCAAUGCAUCACAUUGCCUUCCCAUCGUGUAUGUGCAUGUAAAUAUCACACAGACGACCAACAAGAACAUUGAGAACACAUUCCACAAAUAUAGUAGUGGCUUUUAGGAACUUUCUCUGAUCUUUAUCAGUAGGUCCCUCUUGGAUGUUAGUACUCACAAGAAAAAAUUCAGAGCAGUAAGCUAGAGCACAGACUUCACCUGCCACCUCUUGAAUUGCACACCAGUAAACUUAUCCGGUCAUGGUGCAUGGACAAAACUAGCCAUACUUAACUCGAGAAAUUGCCUACAUUUAGGAUUUUGGAUUGUUGUAAUAUUAUGCAAAUUCAUAAUCAAUUUCAAUAAAUAAUUCAUGAUUAGAACAUAAAGUAGCAUGCAAUGAGCUAGUAUACUAUAAGAAAAGAAAGAUGCAAAACAACACAUCACAUGCAACAUUACCCAUAAAGUGAGGCAUGAAUACAUCACAACUGAUGUAUUAUUCGCUACUACUUGUAGUUGUUGCUGAAGCGAUGAUGUUGAUGAAGUUGUUGGUGACGACAUGAUGCAUACACGUCAAAGAUGACGAUGGUUAGCACGACCUGAAUUGUACGAACAACGACCCUUGGUGAUAAGCUUGAGUAGUCGCACAAAACUUUCCAAAGACCUAAUUUGUACUCUCCCGGUGUAGUAUCGUAAGGACGAACGGUUUUAUAGACAUGUUCUCCUGCAUGCCGACGUUCAUGAUGGAAUAAACUACGGUGGGAGCGCAAGUUGCUAGGUGAGGGAAAACCAUAUGUAUUUUGAUGUGGCUUUGGACACGAUCAGUGAGCAAUAUAUAUGGAAG